ACGGGAGGCAGCAGUGGGGAAUAUUGGGCAAUGGGGGAAACCCUGACCCAGCAACGCCGCGUGAAGGAAGAAGGUUUUCGGAUCGUAAACUUCUAUCCUUGGUGAAAAUAGUGAUGGUAGCCAAGAAGGAAGCCCCGGCUAACUACGUGCCAGCAGCCGCGGUAAUACGUAGGGGGCAAGCGUUGUCCGGAAUGAUUGGGCGUAAAGGGCGCGUAGGCGGCCUGGUAAGUUUGAAGUGAAAGUCCUUCUUUUAAGGAGGGAACUGCUUUGAAAACUGUCGGGCUUGAGUGCAGGAGAGGUAAGCGGAAUUCCCGGUGUAGCGGUGAAAUGCGUAGAGAUCGGGAGGAACACCAGUGGCGAAGGCGGCUUACUGGACUGUUACUGACGCUGAGGCGCGAAAGUGUGGGGAGCAAACAGGAUUAGAUACCCUGGUA
rnacentral:rRNA from 1 species